rnacentral:lncRNA from 1 species
ACUGACUGGGUGCCACCACAACCUCAUUGUCUGGUGUCAGCUCUGUACCUCCUGCAGCUGUUCAUGCCGCUGCUGCUAGUCAACCGUCCCUGGAUGGACACUUCUGAGUGCCAGUCCGUGUUCCAGUAGCUUCCAAGGAUGACCUCAGUUCUUACUUGGUGGUGAUUAGAUCUGUCCCCAAGGUGCUGGUCAGCUUCUCCAGAGAGUCCUGAAUCCAAGAUGCUGAUAUGGAGGCUGACUGUAAAUUAUAUUCAGAGUAACUCCCACAUGGUUCCUGGACCAACUAUAUAUCUCAAUAAGGGUCCCCAGGAUAAACACCUGCCUUGAUCGUGGAAACACAGAGGUUUGCUUGAAGGCCAGUCAAGCCUCAGCCCAGAGGUGCAGUCAGGAGGACACUGCAGACUGGCUUCUCGCAGGACAGAGCAUCCCUGGUCUUACUUACUUACAAUGUGCUAACUUUGGAGCCGCUGUCCAGAACAUCCACGGAGGCUGCUGGGAGCCAACAAAGGGGAGGUAAGUAUGGCAGUUCUAUCAUGAGUUAUUAAGAGAAGAGAUAUUUACUUCUCACUACAAAUGGAGUUUUGUCACAGUUCUUAGAACUCAGUGUGGAGUUCUGGCACUGUAUUCUAAGUGAACUAGCACUUCUUCAAGUUUUUUGGGGAAAUUACUGAUCAAAGAUAAGAAUAUGGUAGAAAAGUUUGGUCUUAUGCUCCAUUAUAUAAAAGAACAAUAUCAAUCCUUUUUAAUGACUAUUUUCAUUCAUACAAGUUAUUUUUACCCAUGUUCAAAACCUGGUUUUCUUACUCGUCUGUAAUGCAAUAUAUCUACUUUUGAAAUGAGACAAACUUUGCAGAAUCUAAUAUCUAAAUCCAUGACUAGGCAAGACUUAGGGGUCCUCUCAUUCAGCCAUGGCCUCCAGAGAACCCUGAGAAACAGUUGCAGCAACAGCCUUUGACCCUUUGUCAAC